AGUCUGAAAUAGCCUUACUUGGCUAACAAGAAGAUACUGUCAUUGUCAUACUCUUUCUGGAAGAUGUAGGGAAGAGUCUGUUUCUUAGCCUUUUCCAGCUUCUAGAAGUUGCCUGUAUUUAUUGGCUCAUGAUCUCUUCCUUCAUUUUCAAAGCUAAUGGUGUAGUAAAUGUUACCUGUAGAACUUUUCUCAUGUCCAUGCCCCCUUUUUAACAUUGAUUGUGAUCAUGUGUGAAUAUGUACAAACUUGACAAAAUGCAUACAUGGAAUAGAUUUAGUUUUUGUUAAUUAUAUAUUAAUAAAACUUAUAAUAUGAAAAUGUCAGAUGCAUUGCAUCUUUCCAUCUUGUCUUGACUCUAACUUUCCUGCCCUCCUCUACCAUGUAUAAAAAUGCUUAGGAUUACAUUGGCUUCACCUGAAUAACAGAGUAAUCCCUAACUAAAUGUCCUUAACUUAAUCCCAGCUACAAACCCCUCUGAGCCAUAAAGGAUAACAUAUCCACAGGUUCUAGGGAUUGGAAGGUGAACAUGCUGCAGGGGCCAUUGUUCUGCCUACCUUAAAGACUAAGAAUAAAAAUACGAGUUACAGGAGAUGUCAAAGAUAGGUGUUGACAGCCAAGAACACACACAAAAAAUUUUCUGCCAAGAUUUGAACGUUGAUUCAUUUAUUGAAAUUUUACAAUCAAAUAAUAGUUAUGAGCUGAAUAAGAUGACAAUCUUUUCAAAUUUUAAUUAUUUGCUAAAUUUUUAGUGGACCUCUACCAUGUUCCAAGUACUGAGGUAUGCACUGAGGACCCCAUGGCUUGAUGGAACAAUGGAUGGAUCAAUGUUGCAGUGGACAAGUGACUCUUGCAAGGAAGCUGUGUGCAGGCGUGGGGACAUGAUGAGAACACCAUGAGACACAUCAUGAAAAUAUGAAGUGUUUAUUUGGGCAUCAGUGGGAGUGUGAUAAGAACCAUUCAAGAGAGAUAAAAGUUUAGUUAGCCUUGAAAGAUGACAAGAUAGUAACUUAGUCAGAAAAAACAAAAACAAGAUGAUCUCCCACAUCCCAGGUGAUCACAGAGUCUAUGGAUUCCCUGCACUGGUACCUGUGCUCAUGCUUAUCAGGCAGAAAUAUCCAUGGCUUUGAGGGAGAGAAAACCAUGCCUCCUCCUUUCACACAAAACUUUUCUCUUGUCACUGAACUUGAGCCAAUAAAUAUUUUCUGAAUCCUAGACUUGGAGGCCACCCUACAAGUGUCCAUUGCAAUAUGCCUUCUCAGAUGGAAACAUAAUUAGAACAGAGAUGGUUUCCAAGCCUUUCUGCUGCCCAGAGGAAAAUCAGCUCAAGGAAAGAAGCUGUGUUUUUUCUUCUACAAGAUAUGAAAAUAGUCUCCAAAGGGUUGCAAGGUUUAUCUAAAGCCACAGGAUGGAUGAAGACUGCUUAGCCCACAGCUGGAAUCUGAAUGUCUGGACUUUUAGUCUAAAAUCAUCUGCCUAGAAGAAAGGAAGGGGAAGAUAUCAGGACAUUGCUUAAGGCUUAAGG